rnacentral:tRNA from 1 species
UGUAAAGUAAGCUAAGUUAAAAGCUUUUGGGCUCAUGCCCCGACCAUGGCAUUAUAUGCCCUUUAUUA